AAAAGCUUUAAUCCGUAAAAGUUUACUCUCUUCAGCUUGUGAUUUCCUGAAGAAAUUAGAUUAUCUUGUUUCUGACUGUGGUGAUUACAUCUUUGAGCAUGCUUACCAUGUAUUUUUGUAUUUCCUUUAUAUUUUCUGCAUUCCUGGAGAGGCUUAGUAGAUUGAAUUUCCAUUCUUUUGCUAAGAAUGAACAGUAUCUUGCCCUCCGUGAUGUUAGUAUUGGUCAGCAGGCUCAUGACUGCCUUCCUUUACUCAUUGCCAGGUUAUACUUCAGCUCUUUAUCAUUGGUUUUCAUAGCCAUUGAGAUGACUGCUUAGAUCUGUUAUUUUUACAAAGGUUUGCAAACUGGCAGAGGUUUUCUGUGUACUGUUCCAUGUGUCAUAAAUUAGCUACAAUGUGUUUCUAAAAAAGUUAACUAAUAACUAGUCUUUAGCAGUAUAAUUAUCCUCAGGUGUAAUUCUCACAAAACAUACAGCAUAGUUACUUGAUUCUUCUAUGAUUUUUCAGUUGUAUAUAUUGUUUCCUUAAAACUGGGCAAAAUUGACUUCUUAAAAAUGAUUAUUUUGAAUGUCUCGUGUGUCUCAUGCACUCCUGUUAAGUGCUCCUCCCACAGCCACUGGGAGCUUCUUCAUGUCAGCCUCUUGUCCUCUCAGAUGACCAACUCAUCUCUAGAGUUUGCUGUCCUUUUGCCAGGCUCCUCUAAUAGAUUUAAAGUAAUAUACAGUGCUUUUAAUUUUCUUUAAUUUUUAUAUUAGUAUCUUUUUUCAGUAAUAGAAAUCUUAGUUUUAAAGAGCAUACAUUUUUCUCUUCUCUCCUGUCAGACUGCAAUUAUGUAACUUAUGAACAAUUUAAAAAGUUAAAGAUUAAGAAGUAUUCAUAUAACACAAGCUCUGCUGUCUCAGGAUCUUGGAUUCUUCUUUGUUUGCUUACAGGUAGUUCAUUAGAUUCCAGUUAGGUGCUGUCGACAUAAAAGUAAUAUGGAAGGGUUCAUAGAAAAAUAUACUAGAUGCUGAUCAUGAAGAGACACAUAUAUAAUCUACUACUUUGGGGACUGAGAAAGGAUAGUCAAGAGUUUGAGACCAGUCUGGGCCUCAUGGUGAGACUCUUUCAAAAACUACUGCUGACUUCCAGCUGCUUGGUGUACAGAUAACAAAAGACAACAGAGUGCCUAGCCCCAAAUUGAACUUUGAUACGUUAUCUCAAGGCUGGGAGUUUUGAUGGAGGGGGUGGCAGGGCAGGAAGAUUGUAAGAGCUGAAGGCCAUGGACGUUUAAAGGAAACUGUUUUCCAGACAGAAGUGCAUCUGAACUCAGUGACUGUUACAGUGUGCACAGAUGUGCACAAGCUCCAGCCAGCCAGAGUCCAGCAGUGGGAAUGUGGUGGGAUGUGUACUUCCAGCACCAGUGCACCAAGGAGCUAUUAGCAUUUAAUGAUUGCUGUGAAGAAGAGAUUCAGGUUGUCAUUUACUGGUGGUGACCUUAAUAAUGUGACUGUGCACCAGAGCAUACCUUAAUCUCCAAACUAACUAAGCAACACAAACUGGACCUCAUGGGAAAGAAAGU
rnacentral:lncRNA from 1 species